CAAAUGCCGAGUGUCUUCGCUGAGCCCCUCCCCUGUGCAAGGCAAAAAGCAAAGUCUCUUUCCCUGGGUGGGGCGCUUGUCGGCACGCCCCUCUGGGCGGGGGUCGUUUGAAAGACCGGGAGCUGUGUGGACCGGGGCCCGGAACUCAGAAAGUGUAUUGGCCAAUCAGGACCGUGAGCGGUGAGGCUGACGACACGUGGGCGGGGCGCGCCCUCUGCAGGAUCCUGCGGGCGGCUCGGACCGUGGAGGUGAGCCCUGGGGGCUCCCGCACAGCGUUGCUCUUCUGGGCAGUGUGGUUUAGAGUCUUAGGAUGCGUGAGAGACGCACGUCUAGGUUGAGGGAAGUGGGGGUAUAUGGUGCGUGCCAUAAACGUUUAUUGUGCGAGUGAAAGAAUGGGGCUGUUUGAACAGUUCCGAUGACUCCUGGCAACUCAGAGUAAUGAAACCUUGGCUGCCGCUUGAAGUUGUCGUCUUCGCGCCCCCUUCACUGACCGAUUCUGUGAUUGUUUCCAGACCUAGAAUCAAUUGCAGAAUCAAGCUCUGGAGCAGACAUCUGGGGUUUUGUAAGUUCUCCUUGGCCCACCUGGGCUGUUUGGAGUGCUCAGACUCACCUCCCAGGAGGGCAUCCUAUGGCAUGGACCCAGAGCCUGUAGCAUUCUAGACAAGUGCGGAAGCACUGAACUAUAGCCUCAGCAAAAGGUAUUUUCUUAAAUGUCAGUUGCAAUUUGUAAUGUAAAACUGUAUCAUUAUCCUUUGUUAUUUAAAAAUACAUUGGUCUAUUUUGCAUGCUAAAUGGAUAUUUGACUCUUGCAUAAUUUUGGAACAUAUAUGCUGGUCAUUCAGAAAACUUUGGUGCACUGAGUUAUAUGCAGCCACAUUUUGACAGGUUUUAUUACAUAAUAUUUUAAAAAUCAUUUUUGUUGCUGGGUAUGGGUGCAUGCCUGUAAUCCCAGAAACUGGGGAGAAUGAGGCAGGAGGAUUGCAGAUUCAAGGCCAGCCUCAGCAUCUAAGUGAGGUCCUGAGCAACCUUGUGAGACCCUAUCUCAAAAAAAUAGAAAGAAUAGGGAAGGGGCUGGGGUUGUGGCUCAGUGGCAGAGUGCUGGCCUAGCAUGUGUGAGGCACUGGGUUGGAUCCUCAGCACCACAUUAAACAAACAAACAAAAUAAAUUUAAAUUAAAAAGGAAAGACUGGGGAUGU
rnacentral:lncRNA from 1 species